rnacentral:rRNA from 1 species
CGGCAACAGCUCAAAUUUGAAAUCUGCCCGCAAGGGCCGAGUUGUAAUUUGUAGAGGAUGUUUUGGGUACCGCCACGGUUUAAUUUUCUUGGAACAGAAUGUCACAGAGGGUGAGAAUCCCGUCUGGAGUUCGGACACGGCCUAUGUGAAGCUCCUUCGAC